rnacentral:rRNA from 1 species
GACGAACGCUGGCGGCGUGCUUAACACAUGCAAGUCGAACGGAAAGGCCCUGCUUGCAGGGUACUCGAGUGGCGAACGGGUGAGUAACACGUGGGUGAUCUGCCCUGCACUUCGGGAUAAGCUUGGGAAACUGGGUCUAAUACCGGAUAGGAACCAUCUUUAGUGUGGUGGUUGGAAAGUUUUUUCGGUGUAGGAUGAGCUCGCGGCCUAUCAGCUUGUUGGUGGGGUAAUGGCCUACCAAGGCGGCGACGGGUAGCCGGCCUGAGAGGGUGUACGGCCACAUUGGGACUGAGAUACGGCCCAGACUCCUACGGGGGGCAGCAGUGGGGAAUAUUGCACAAUGGGCGCAAGCCUGAUGCAGCGACGCCGCGUGGGGGAUGAAGGCCUUCGGGUUGUAAACUCCUUUCGCUAGGGACGAAGCUUUUUGUGACGGUACCUAGAUAAGAAGCACCGGCUAACUACGUG